rnacentral:snoRNA from 1 species
GCAUAGUGAUGAUGAUUUAAACGUGUCCGAUCAACUUAUGACUGGAAUAUCAACCUCCUACUCAUACUGA